UGUGGGAGCGGGCUUGCUCGAGAUGUGGACGCCGCGGUUUUUCAGUCGAACCGCGUCGAUACCAUCGCGAGCAAGCCCGCUCCCACA
rnacentral:misc_RNA from 1 species